rnacentral:misc_RNA from 1 species
UGGCGUGCCCUGAAGACGUGGUGGGGGUGUUGUGGGGGUGGGCACUCCUGAGGACUCGUCGGGAGACGGCCUGCUCGAGGAGCUUUUCCCUGAGGGGCGGCACCAUCGCCAACAAGGCGCGGGCGCACGGAACCGCCAGCAGAACGGCACGCUACCGGAGGAGGUACUGUACCUCUCGCGCCGCAGUUUGGAGGGGGCGGUGAUCUACAUGCAGGCAAGACCUCCCACCUGGAAUUCGACACACUCUCUCGUCGCUGCCUCCCGCACCAUGCGACGCUUCGCUGCGAUGCAAUAUGCCGUGUUCGGCGGCGCGAACGGGCUGGUGCUCUCCGCCAGUAGGCCAGCAGGCCGAGGGUGCGCUGUACCUUCCACAUGCUCUGUGGUCGCAUCGGAUCGCGGGAGUCUUGGAGGAGGCGUCGGACAGCAUGCCCGCUGUCUUGACCGCGUGCGAUUAUGCACCCUUAGCCAGCGUACCGUAGGCGCCACGUCGCAAGCUCCGCGCGGUGGGGCCGGGCUUAUCAGUCUUUCGCAGCGCAUGCGCGCGACAGCAGUAAUACAGCGAGUAUUGUGGCCUACACGUGACCGUCCACUACUUUGCACAUCACCUGCCUGUACGGGUACCAGAUGGAUCCACACUGGCCGCCCGCCUCCAGCCUUUGGCCUACACGAGGCAUCCGCUUCACGAUAGAACACCCUCGCCCCUCAUAACCCCGAACAGGAAAAGGAGGGCGUAGAAAACGCUGGGCGGCCCGUGAUGGCGCUGUCCCCCUGACCACGCGGAGCAGCAAGGGUGCUCGUAUCAGUGGCCCGCACUCGUUGCUGUCAGCCUCGCACCGGUAACACGCCGUCGUGCGCACUCCACUUUUGCGCGAGCGACGACGCACGCAGCGCGUUGUUCUCACAUCCCACGGAGGUCUGCAAUCUGCUGCGUGCGCCGCCGCGGCAGGAGAACGCAACGUCGGCGCUGCCGUAUGGUGUAUGGCGGCCCGUGGCGUCCCGGAACAAGAACUCGUGAAUCUCUCGAGACACAAGCAAGCCUCACUGGUCAGUGCCAGCACCGCCCUCUACGCCGAGACAAAUUUGGCGUGAACACCUCGUCGGUGAAGAACCUCGGCGUGGAGCCGGCUGAGGUGCUGUGCGAGAUCCAGCGCCUGCAGGGUUCACGCGAUGCGCCGGUUCUGCCCCCGCUUUCCGAAUGGCUCCCUUGACCUCUAGAGCACUGCCUCACUGGAUGGCGAUGCUGUGGAGGUGAUGCGAGCGAGUCCGCCCGAGGCGCGGGACUUCCUGCAUCGGGCGCAGAGGCACUUUGACCGUCUCCGGGCGUCGAGGAUAGGGAAAAAGCGCCGCCUGCCGGUGGCCGACGCCGCGCCGGCGUUCGCAGUCGAGAAGGGUCGGGCCGCGCCUCCCUAAUACUGACGACAUGAUGGAGAAGGGCUUUCCCCGGUGGAGAGGGUGCGCAGCGUAAAGUUUUUUUUUGGUCGCUCGAGAGAUGAAAGGGCGCCGCUGCCCGACCACGGAUCCACACCUUAAUGCGUUCUGGCAAAGAGCAAGAGAUACCGUGGGUGGCAUGUCCGUCUUGCUUGGCGCGGCGGCAAGAGCCACACAACAGGAAGUGGGCGCUUCGAGUCGAUUUUGGAGGCUUCUCACGCUGCAAUCCCGAUUUCGGGUACGAUUCGCAGCAAGCUCGUGCUCAUGUCCACAAGCGGCGAGUGCUUCAGGUGGCGCACCCCACCGGCCGGUGCGUUCUGGUGCGCUACCGUAGGCCAGUGUCUGACCUGGUCAAUUGUGGGCAGCGCCACUCUCUCUGACGGUGACGCACAUGAGUGCCAAUAUAUUGUUCUGCGCAGAAGAGGUUCAGGAGGGUGGGUUUGUGUCAGCGGUGCGUCGCAUCGUUGAUCGGAUGCGCGCAGCGAACCCCCUCUCACGUCCCCAGAGCGCGAGCUGAUCGCGCACAUGGAGGACGAGUCGUCGUUGGCUUUGGCUGCCGUGCCGCAUACAUUUUUUUCGGCAGUGCAGUGCAUCUUGAAGGGAAGGGAUAGAUCGGUGCACAGGCCACGGCCAAGAAUGUUGCAAAUACGGCACCGUGGCCCAGCGAAAGCCAAGAGCACGCCAUCGGCUUGUUUGCGUCGAUCCUGUAUCCCUUUACGCUCUUCAUGCUGCACACCACCCUCCUUUACCCCUCGCGUGGGCGAGAAAG